rnacentral:rRNA from 1 species
GAUGAACGCUAGCGGCAGGCUUAACACAUGCAAGUCGAGGGGCAGCGCGGGAUAGCAAUAUCCUGGCGGCGACCGGCGGAAGGGUGCGUAACGCGUGAGCGACAUGCCCGUUGCCCGGGGACAACCGGGGGAAACGCCGACUAAUCCCCGAUGGGAUACGAUGCUUCAUGGCAUUGUAUUGAAAGUUACGGCGGCGGCGGAUUGGCUCGCGUCCGGUUAGCUGGUUGGCGGGGUAACGGCCCACCAAGGCUGCGAUCGGUAGGGGUUCUGAGAGGAAGGCCCCCCAGGAUGGGACUGAGACACGGCCCAUACUCGUACGGGAGGCAGCAGUGAGGAAUAUUGGUCAAUGGGCGGAAGCCUGAACCAGCCAGGCCGCGUGCGGGAAGGAGGCCCUAUGGGCUGUGAACCGCUUUUGCCUGGGGGCAAUAAGGGCGUCGCGCCCGUCCGAUGAGAGUACCAGGCGAAUAAGCAUCGGCUAACUCCGUG